AUAGAACAAAUUAGAAUGAGAGAUAAUCAGAUAAUUUUUGAUAUUGGUGAUGAAUACAUGAAUAUUUCUCUAUAUGCUUCCACUGAGCUAACAACUUUUGGCAGAUUGACAGCUAGCAUGCUAACUAUCUUGACAGCUCAUAAAGCAAAACAAAUAACAGAAAGCAAUUAACAAACUUGACAAGAAGGAAUUGGCAAUUAAUCAAUUUAUCUCUAG
rnacentral:misc_RNA from 1 species